GACCACAAACUACUUUUGGCUCACUUCUCUUAAUAAAUUAGAGUAAGCAUUAAUUGGCUUUAUUGCCUGAAGAAGCAGAGGAAAAAGAUAUGGAACUAAAGUAGCAAAUUAUCAUCUACCAAAAAAAUGUAGCGAAUUAUCAUGUAGCAACCAAAAAACAACCAGUAAAUAACACAUGAUCAGCAUUCAUAAAAGCCUUGAGAGAGAUGCACAAAGACACUCCAGUGAAAUUUAUACGUCAUUCAGCCAUAGCCAUGCAUCUCUAUGCUUUUUUACUAUUGAAAAAAAAAAAAUGCCCAUCCCUUCAUCAGAGCUACAUCAAAACUCCGGAAUAAAUCCACUUGAUUCGAACCAAGAAAUUCACAGGAGUCCCAGCAUCAUGUCAAAGCCUCAAUUAAUCUAUGUGCAAGUUACCCCGUAAGAGCACACAUCUGAAGUCCUAAAGUAGUCUAACAUAUUACUUCUCACAAAAUCUUUGCAUUGUUAUAUCCAUGUUAAACUAGUUCUAGCUACCAGCA
rnacentral:lncRNA from 1 species